UACGUAGGGUGCGAGCGUUAAUCGGAAUUACUGGGCGUAAAGCGUGCGCAGGCGGUUUUGUAAGUCUGACGUGAAAUCCCCGGGCUUAACCUGGGAAUGGCAUUUGGGACUGCAAGGCUCGAGUGCGGCAGAGGAGACUGGAAUUCCUGGUGUAGCAGUGAAAUGCGUAGAUAUCAGGAGGAACACCGAUGGCGAAGGCAGGUCUCUGGGCUGACACUGACGCUCAUGCACGAAAGCGUGGGGAGCAAACAGG
rnacentral:rRNA from 1 species